GUUCACGGCGUGGGACUUUCGAGGGGUCAGGUAAGUAAACGGGGGGCUCGAAAAUCAUUGUCGUCAUGAAGCCGGCCCCACCAAGUGGUGCUGGGCCCCAAAAUAAGCAGGAACCAUCCAAUGGGGGAAGUUAAUCAGCCACAGCUCAAGGAACUCCUAGAAACCCCGGGUGAUGAUGGUUGGCAUACCGGCACUGCAAACUGGCCAACACCAAUGAAUCUCCUGAGGGCUCCAGUCAUUGUUCUAGGUGACGAGAUACACCGUCCUCAGAGAUCCGUCACUAAAUCAUUCCGGCACAGAAGCUCCUCCUUCCAUUUUUCCUUUCCAUUAACAUUUAUCUGCAAGACAUUAAUA